UAUGUAUAUCAACAAAAGGCGAACAUACCUAGCUGGUUUCAAAAUGCAUUUAACUGAAAUCGUGGUGGAAGAAUUGAAUUAGUAAAAAGAAAAAUGGACAGAUUUGUUGUACGAAAAGACGUCCCGACAGGUGCAAAUACAGAGACGGACAGUGGCAGUGAGAGCAGCUCGAGCGACGAACGGACG